CAUCUUGGGCGGCCGAGGCGCGGGGUGCGUGUCCCGGCGUGCUGCGCGCGCUUCCCGGCGUGCACUGCGCGGCCGCCAGCCUGAGGGGCGGCCCGGGGACACCGGGAGAAGCGGAGUACCGGCCGCUUACCGGGCACACACCGCGGGUACGGGCACACACCGCUGAGGGCGAGCACAGCAGCAGUGGCACCGGAAAGACCACACUGCGGAUACACCACAUCGCCCCCGGCCUCCCGCAGGCACUGGGCGCUGUCGUGCAUUCCGAGUGUCCCUGCCCAGGAAUCCCUUCCCAGGACAGCUCUGUUUUAGGGAGUGACCGUGUCCCGCACAUCUGGAGACACUAGAGUUGAGAGAAACGUUCCCACCUUUUGUGUCCGUCACCUCCGUGUCACGGGAGCUCUGGGGUCUCCGCUGUGCAUAUCCCACAGGGUGCGGCGGGCGGAGCCCCCCCGGCCCGGGGAGCUGCUGGGAUGGACUUUGCUGCUGAAGUUAUGCAGAUGCUGCCCGGAGAUUUGCAGCUACAGGCUGAGGAAUCCUGCCCUGGAAUGAUUGUGAAUUUACCAGGCAGAAAUCUUUGAUGGCUCACCAAUUAACUCCCUUCCUUUCAACAUGUAAAGCACUGUACAAGGACUCUGGUAACUUCAGUAUAGAGAGAAACAUGUAAAUUCAGCAUACUGGGAAGUUGGUUACCUGCUACAGAAAAUUUCUUCUGUGGUUCUCUUAGACUGUUCCUUUCAAUGUAGGCACAAAUCCAGUGUGUGAAUACUGGUACCUUCUACAUCUGCUCUUACAAAAACAAAUCUUCUAGUCAAACAUAAAACUUUGAACUUAAUAGUUAUUUCAGUGAGAAGUAUAACAUUGUAGUAAGCAGAGAGAUUGAGAUGGAGAAAGGAUGCUCACUUCUUACCUUAAACUUCUUCACUCUUGAGCCAUAGUGGGAAGCAGUGAAAUAAUCACUGAGCUUCGGGAGCAGGCACAGCCCUGGCUGCAGCACUGCCCUGCCCUGGGGUCACAGUCCCGGCUGUGCUCAGCUCCCAGGGAUCACCUUCAUCCUGCCUUUUGGAUCUGCUAAGAGGAGGGUUUGCUUUCCUUCUCAAUGAAGGAUUUCUCAGUUGUAAUUCUGCAUGAUUUACAUAUUCUAAAGACUUUUUUACACUUUCCAAAGGGCAGACUCUGUCUCUCAGGCUGAGUGUCAGCAUGGCUUCAGCCACACAAGGGAUGAAGGCAGCUGUGAGCUCCCCUUGAUGUGAGCGGGGCAGAGCUCCCCAAGUGAUCCUGUUUGCAGGGUCAGGGUUGGUGUUUGCAGAUUUUUGACCUUCUAGAAAUUUUUGUUGACUUUUAGCACAGUCUCAAGUUCUCAUUUUCUAGUAAGCUUAGGACUUAUAUUUUUUUAACUCUACGCUAUCUCACUCAUUCCUUCCCAGCGGGAAGUGCCCCACAUACUGAAUCCAGCUGUGGCAGCCACAGAAUUAAACCCUCACAUCCCCCGUGAAAACAUUGCAAAGUUUCUCUUGAAUUUUGUUCUACUUUUGUUAAACCCAUGCAGUGAUUUUUAGCUGUAAAAGAAGUUUCACUGACUCUUGCUCUCCCAAAGCAGGUAUCUAAAAUAAACACCGUGAUUAUUAGCUAUGUAUGUUGCAGUAACUAUUAAAAAAUGGGGGGCACAUUAGUGUCACCACUGAAACAGGCAGAUCUUGUCAUGGAAAACAGGCUUCCAAGGCAGAAAAAACCAAACAGCCUCAAACAAGUGGUGUCAGGGUAAACAGAGAAGGGUGUGGAGUGCCUUUCCCCAGGCACAGCAGAUCCAGGAAUAAAGCUGGGGGUCAUUCUGGAAGCAGUUCCUCAUGCCCUCUGGAGCUCUGCAGAAGCCCUGGCAGCUCUGAGGGGCUGCCUGGGCAUGGGGGGUUGCUGAAGUCCAGCAGCCAGGGAGAAGUAUGGCUGGGCCACCCUCUUUUGCCAUUUUUUAAAGAGUAAAACAGUUCUUUAUUUUUCUUUCACUCAGUAUUUUAUGGUGAAAAAAACCCUUUUCCUGUUAAGAUGUCUUAAAAUAAAUGUAUUGUAGGAGUUU